rnacentral:rRNA from 1 species
CAGUCGCCGCGGUAAGACAGAGGAUGCAAGCGUUAUCCGGAAUGAUUGGGCGUAAAGCGUCUGUAGGUGGCUUUUCAAGUCCGCCGUCAAAUCCCAGGGCUCAACCCUGGACAGGCGGUGGAAACUACCAAGCUGGAGUACGGUAGGGGCAGAGGGAAUUUCCAGUGGAGCGGUGAAAUGCGUUGAGAUCGAAGAGAACACCAACAGCGAAAGCACUCUGCUGGGACGACACUGACACUAAGAGACGAAAGCUAGGGGAGCAAAUGGGAUUAGAUACCCCAGUAGUCCCUGUCUCUUAUAC